UUCAUUUAGCAACCACAAAAACAAUGAGGAGUCCUUGUGGCACCUUAGAGACUAACACAUUUAUUUGGGCAUAAGCUUUCAUGGGUAAAAAACCCACUUUAGAUGCA